UAGGGAAUAUUGGUAAUGGGCGAAAGCCUGAACCAGCAACGCCGCGUGUGCGAUGAAGGCCUUCGGGUUGUAAAGCACUUUUGACCGGGACGAGGAAGGUCGGUACCGGUGGAAUAAGCCUCGGCUAACUACGUGCCAGCAGCCGCGGUAAAACGUAGGAGGCGAGCGUUAUCCGGAUUUACUGGGUGUAAAGCGCGUGCAGGCGGUUAGCUAAGUUGGGUGUGAAAGCUCCUGGCUCAACUGGGGGGGGUCGCUCGAGACUGGCUGACUCGAGGAUGGUAGAGGAAGGUGGAAUUCCGGGUGUAGUGGUGAAAUGCGUAGAUAUCCGGAGGAACACCAGUGGCGAAGGCGGCCUUCUGGACCAUCACUGACGCUCAGACGCGAAAGCGAGGGUAGCAAAC
rnacentral:rRNA from 1 species